CCAAUAGCGUAUAUUAAAGUUGUUGCAGUUAAAAAGCUCGUAGUUGAACUUCGGGAUCAAUGAAUCGGUCAUGCUUUCGUAUGUACUGGUUUUAUUGGUUCUCACCUUCUAAGGAACCUUAAUGUCAUUCAUUUGAUGUUUUGGGGAAUUAGGACUGUUACCUUGAAAAAAUUAGAGUGUUUAAAGCAGGCUAACGCUUGAAUACAUUAGCAUGGAAUAAUGAAAUAGGACAUCGCAUUCUAUUUUGUUGGUUUCUAGGAUCGAUGUAAUGAUUAAUAGGGAUAGUUGGGGGCAUUAGUAUUCAAUUGUCAGAGGUGAAAUUCUUGGAUUUAUUGAAGACUAACUACUGCGAAAGCAUUUGCCAAGGAUGUUUUCAUUAAUCAAGAACGAAAGUUAGGGGAUCGAAGACGAUCAGAUACCGUCGUAGUCUUAACCAUAAACUAUGCCGACUAGGGAUCGGAUGAUGUUGAUUUUUUAAUGACUCAUUCGGCACCUUACG
rnacentral:rRNA from 1 species